AACUUUCUUCUCACCGAGUAAAUUUCCAGAUAAAUUAUUUAAUUUAGCAUAAAUGUAACGCGAGGUGGUGCACGAUACUACCGUGCGAUUGUAACACCUGUUUGAUGACAAUUUAACGCCUUGGCUCGAGAAAAGUACUCAUCGAUUAAGUAAUUGUUACACGGAGAGAAGAAAAAUAUUCAACGUAUAUUUAUUUCCCCGCUGUACAAUAAUCGUAAAAUGAUAUCAGAGAUCGGAUAGGGACUAUCAAAAGAAGAGAUACCAGAGAUCGAAAUACGUAUAGGCGCAGUUGGUCGUUUUUCGUGCCCUUUAGUUUUCCUCUUUUCAUUCUGCAGUGAGCACUCGUUGAAUGAACAUAUGCUUUGAGCGAAGCUGCAUUCCAUCGACUUUACACAUAUGUGUCAAGUUUGAAAGUAUUACUGGUACAGUACAUAAAACUAUAAACUUUUAUUCGGAUUUAUUCUUCUGUCUUACGCUUGAAGAUUGAUUUAAUGACAAAUUUAAGAUAUUGAGUUAAACUUUAGGAUAUUGUGCUACAGAACGAAAUAUAAACAGAUACAGUUAAAUGCUUGAAUAUCAUCUUGCUUAAUUAUAUUAAUAAUCUUUUUUAUUGUUUUGAUAUGCUAUAUUGUUAUUUGAUGGAUUGUUGUAUCUUAAUUGCAUGUAGUAAAUGUAGCAUGUAUUAAUUGAUAAAAUAAAUGGUUAUUAUAACA